rnacentral:lncRNA from 1 species
AAAAUAAUUAUGCAGGCCGAGGUGGGCAGAUCACCUGAGGUCAGGAGUUCGAGACCAGCCUGGCCAACGUGGUGAAAUCCCGUCUCUACUAAAAAUACAAAAAUUAGCUGGGUGUGGUGGCAUGCGCCUGUAAUCCCAGCUACUCGGGAGGCUGAGACAGGAGAAUUGCUUCAACCUGGGAGACGGAGGUUGUGGUGAGCUGAGAUUGCACUACUGCACUCCAGCCUGGGUGACAGAGUAAGACUCCAUCUCAAAAAUAAAUAAAUAAAUAAAUAAUAAAUAAAAUAAGAAUAAAAUAAUUAUGUAUUUAAUAAUCAGAGGCAUCAUAGAUUAAUGAAAUUCUUUUUCUAGUCAAUGAGAAAAAUGUAAAGAUGUACUUAAUAUGCAACAGAUGUAUUUGCUCUAUAAUACAUAAGUUUGUACUUACAGAGAUUUUGCAGGAGUUUGAGUAAGGAAACUGGCAGAGGGUUGAGAUUGUAUCAUCGGGCUCUCCCUAAUGAAGGAAUGUUGAAAUUAAGAGAGUUCGUGUUGUCAUCGGUACCAUGUUCAUGUUACAGAUUGUGAUUUAGGGCUGCCAAAGCAACAUUAUCAAUCUCAUGAAAUUAUAUGUUAUUUACAUUUCUUUGGCUUUAUAGCUUGGCUUAUUUUUAAUUUGUGAAGUUGCUUUGUUUUAUACUUUGUGUGAAAGCUGUAAAUAAACAAAGACUAAUAGAAUAUAAAAUUUUUUCCAAAAAGUAUGCUAUCUGUCUGGAAAAGAUAAGUGUUCACAAUAGAUGUCUACUUGUAAUAUACCUGAUUGUGUAUAAUAUAAACAUUUUUAAAUAAAACAUUAAAAUGUGUGUACA